CUUUCGGCUUUAUUGAAAGCAGAUGGAUUUGGGGAAAUGUUAGAGCAAAACUAAGCGGUGGUUCACCUUUCAGGAGAAAGGCUUUCUCUGUCGCUGGAUGCUGCCGCGCAGCCGGUCAGGCGCGGCCCGGCUGAGGCUCCUCUCUGCAGAGCAGCCGCGGCUCCGGCGGCCGCCGUGUCCCUGUCCCCGUGUCGCACAGGGUUCCCUGGCUGGGCUGCCGAGCAGCUCCCGCAGCCACUCCAGGGGGGGACGGAGGGAAGUGACCGGGCCCUUCCCUGGGAGGGCCGCUGGAGCCCCUUAGCCCCUCGAGGCUGGAGCUGGGCACAGACCCCCACACGGCGGGCCCUGCCCGGCCCUGCCCGCGCUGCAGCGGCACUGGAGCGCAGGGCUGCGGGCGGCACCUCGGGCCGUCAGCCCCGACCCUUUCAGUGCCCAGAGGCAGCCUCAGGGGAGCAGAGACGUGGCAAUGGCUCGAGUUAGCCAUUGCUUUCGGCUUUUCUCCCACGUUAUUUGCUGAUGCCUGCGCUGGGCACAGCCCCUCGCCUCACCUGCCAACACCAGCACCCAUCAUGGCCCACCUGGGCCUCACCCGUGGCGCCAUUCAAGCUCCAGCCAAGGCCCUGGGCUCCCUCACUGCCGGUACUCAUGUCCUGUGGAGCAGUCUGAAAUAGAUCCUUUUGCUACCUUGAUCAGAAGAACCUGAAAUCAUGGAUGGAUAGAAGGGAGAUACAUUCAGGAAAGAUACGCCAUGAUUUUAGCUUGGACUUGCGGCUCAUCAGGCUCACAUUUCAGGAGUUCCAAUAUCAGAUGUGGGAUACUUGCUGCUGCCUUGGGAGUCAUACUGGUGGUCUCUGUCACCACAGUGUCUGUCACCAUGGGAUAUAUGUAGUGGACUAUUGAAGACUUUCACCAAGCCCACCUUGCCCAAUGGCAAUUAGACUGAAAGAGGAACCUUUGACAGACUGGUGACACAUUGAGACUGCUGAGAUUGCUGGAGGUUAAGUUCUUGAGCUUUUUAUCUUAGGGAUUAGUAGGACAUUAAAAAUUUAUUAUGAAUGCUAGAUACGCAUAAUACUGUACCUUAUCGUAAGGACUUUAAUGUUUAAUGAUUUUUUUGGUCCAUGGUAAUUUAUGAACUAGACUUUUAAGGCUAUAUGUAUCACUAUCAGGGAAAUACACAUAUAAAUGUCACAAGUAUUUACAAUUAAGAAAACAUGUUCUUCCAAUUUUCUAAACAGCGAAAAAGAAGUUGAAUUUGUAGGAAAAAUGAGCUGUCAAUAUUACUGCUGAAUGUUGACUUUAAACAAAAUGCAUGAAAUUAAUUACAUCACUAGUAAAUGUAAUUAAUUUUAAAUCUGUAUACACAGUAUCCUCACAGAUACUCUGCAAUUAAAAACCAUGAGCCAAAUUGGAUUAGCAAGUGCUUUUGUAUAAGCACUACUUAAAUUUAAGGCGAACUUUGUGUAAUGACAGAAGACAAAAUUUGGUCUUGUAUCAUUGUCAGCAAGUGAGGGGAGUUAAAAGAAAGUAUUUUAUCCUUCUUCUUAAUGCCAAAAAAAGACAAAAGGAUUCCACAUGUCCUGUAAUUGUAUUAUUUGAAUUUGGAAGCACAUGCAAUGAUGCAAGAUGUUUAGUUAGAUGUUUAGCAGUGUGUCAGUGCUAGUUCAGUUUUGUGAGAAAAUACAACACUAUUGAAACAGCAGGAGGCUGAUGUUUCUGUUUAUCUGCAUUUAUAUAAACAGCUUCCCUUUGCCAGAGCUUGUUGACUGGCUCUUAUCCUUUCUGGUUCCCUUCAUGGCUUGUAGUUUUCCCACUUGGCCUGAUUUUUUCUG